rnacentral:rRNA from 1 species
AGCAUAUCAAUAAGCGGAGGAAAAGAAACCAACAGGGAUUGCCUCAGUAACGGCGAGUGAAGCGGCAACAGCUCAGAUUUGAAAUCUGGCUCCGUCUGGGGUCCGAGUUGUAGUCUGUAGAGGAUGCUUCGGGGUAGGGCCGGGCCUAGGUUCCUUGGAACAGGGCGUCAGAGAGGGUGAGAGUCCCGUCUGCGGCCCAGGUCUCCUCCCCAGGUGAAGCUCCCUCGACGAGUCGAGUUGUUUGGGAAUGCAGCUCAAAUCGGGUGGUAAAUCUCAUCUAAAGCUAAAUACCUACCAGAGACCGAUAGCGCACAAGUAGAGUGAUCGAAAGAUGAAAAGCACUUUGAAAAGAGAGUUAAACAGCACGUGAAAUUGUUGAAAGGGAAGCGCUCGCGAUCAGACUUGCCCGUGGCUCCUCAGUCGGCGGUUCACCGCCGGCGCACUGGGCCACGGGCAGGCCAGCAUCGGCCCGGGUGGUGGAAGAAGGACCUUGGGAAUGUGGCUCCUUUCGGGGAGCGUUAUAGCCCAGGGUACGACGCCGCCGUCCGGGCCGAGGCCCGCGCUCCGGCAAGGAUGCUGGCGCAAUGGUCGCCAGCGACCCGUCUUGAAACACGGACCAAGGAGUCUAACAUCCACGCGAGUGUUUGGGCGUCAAACCCCGACGCGCAAUGAAAGUGAACGGAGGUGGGAACCCGUCCGGGUGCACCAUCGACCGAUCCUGACGUCUUCCGAUGGAUUUGAGUAUGAGCGUGGCUGUUGGGACCCGAAAGAUGGUGAACUAUGCCUGAAUAGGGUGAAGCCAGAGGAAACUCUGGUGGAGGCUCGCAGCGGUUCUGACGUGCAAAUCGAUCGUCAAAUUUGGGUAUAGGGGCGAAAGACUAAUCGAACCAUUGAAAGCACAUGAAAACAUCUUGUUGAACAAACUCUUGGAGUUUGGAGUUGUUUGUUUUUCGCUGCUAGGUGGUUUACAGGCGGCUGAGAACCCCGCCUAGUCCCAGUUGUACGGGGCAACACAGUCAAAUUGCGGGAACACCCUUAGAGCUCAAGGAACCGCUGCUCCACCGAAAGGUAGGCCAGCACCGGGGUAAUGACCUUGGGUUUGGUAAGAUCACUUGAGAUUGGGCAAUCCGCAGCGUAUUCCUAAGGGUGUUUGUACCCAUGGAAGGCGUUCACAGACUAAAUGGCUGUGGGUAGGCGCGCGAACUGCGCACCUGCCUAAGAUAUAGUCGGACCGCCGGGAGAGCCGGUUGGGAAGGUUGUCUGGGGGUGGCCGCGUGGGUAUGAUGCCCGGGCCAUAGCCUGGAGGCUUCCUUGGGGCCCAUCAGCUGGGCCCUGGAGCAAUUGCUAGUAGCUGGUUCCUGCCGAAGUUUCCCUCAGGAUAGCAGUAACGCGUGUCAGUUUUAUGAGGUAAAGCGAAUGAUUAGAGGCCUUGGGGUUGAAACAACCUUAACCUAUUCUCAAACUUUGAAUAUGUAAGAAGUCCUUGUUGCUUAGUUGAACGUGGACAUUCGAAUGUACCGUUACUAGUGGGCCAUUUUUGGUAAGCAGAACUGGCGAUGCGGGAUGAACCGAACGCGGGGUUAAGGUGCCGGAAUGCACGCUCAUCAGACACCACAAAAGGUGUUGGUUCAUCUAGACAGCAGGACGGUGGCCAUGGAAGUCGGAACCCGCUAAGGAGUGUGUAACAACCCACCUGCCGAAUGAACUAGCCCUGAAAAUGGAUGGCGCUCAAGCGUGCUACCCAUACCCCGCCGCCAGGGUAGGAACGAUGCCCUGGCGAGUAGGCAGGCGUGGGGGUCGGUGACGAAGCCUUGGGAGCGAUCCCGGGUCGAACGGCCCCUAGUGCAGAUCUUGGUGGUAGUA